AUUCUGCCAAACCACAGUCGGGUGAAGCCGGGGGGAGCUCAAUGGAGUUGAGAGUGCGUGGUGCAGUGACUGUGAUACAGAGUAAUGGGAGGCAGAGCCUGGCGAUCCCAUCCUGGACUCAUUCCGUGGCCACAGGUGGAAGAUCAUGGCCCACCCAGGAUACCACGCUGAAGUUUCUCGUCAUGUCUUCUCAGGCUCCUCUUGGCUGUGGCGGUUUCUCAGAUUUCCCUUGUUUUGAUGACCUUGACAGUUUUGAGGAGGACGGGUUAAGUAUUUUGUAGAAAGUCCCUCAACUGGAAUUUGUCUGAGGUUUUUCUCACAAUUAGACCGGGGUUGUGGGUUUGGGGGAGGAAGACCCCCAAGGUGACGUGUGAUUCUCAUCCGAUCAUAUCACGGGUAGUUGCUAUCACAUGAUUUAUGCUGAUGUUGACCUUGAUCACCUGGCUGUGGUGUGUGUUUCAGGUUUCUCCACUGUAAAUGCUACUCAUUUUGGGCCUUUUUUGACCAUAGGUCUAGAGCCGUGUUCUCCAGUUGGCUUUCUCAGCAAUAAAGCUGAGAUUUUGACCUCCACUGAUCUGUUAUGUGUUAUUUCUCGAUUGAUUCCAUACCCGAGAAGGGAAAAAAAUAAAUGAAUGUCAAGUGUUAAAUCCCUAAGACCUCAAUAGCAUCGAUGUGGCAAAAUACUGUUCAUCUUUUAAGGUUUACCAGGCAUCACCUCCUCUUUGAAGCCUUCCCUGAUCUCUCCAGGUGGUGGAGUCAACGUGUCCUAGUUGUUCCCACGACCUCCACCUACAUCUCUCAUGGGACUUCUCACUUGUCAUGAUUCAUUCUCCCUCCUCUUUCCUCCACAAGAUUAUUAGCCUCUCAAGGUCACUGGCCACGUGUAUUAAUCUCUAUGUCUUUGCAACCUGGUUUAGAGUCUGGAAUGUAGAAGAUACUUAGUAAAUGUUUGCAGAAUGAAGACCCAUUCACUCCAAAUCAAUGAAGGUGACUUCUCCAGGAUGCAGACUCAGUGGGACUCCUUUUGGCUGGAGUAAAGCAGCCCUGAUGACCAGCUCCAUUCUCUUUACAGUUCCGUGGGAAGGAGGCAGGGCUGCGUAGGUGGUGCAGCUGAAAUAAUACUUAAGUCCAGGACCCAUGUGCAAUUAAGACUGAGAACCCCAUCGGUUCGCGGCUUCGUGGUGCGCA